CAAUCGGCCCUUUUCGGGGCCACGAAUUUUCUUAACGUAGGAACA
rfam:Dufourea novaeangliae contig1781, whole genome shotgun sequence.